AUACGGAGGGUGCAAGCGUUAAUCGGAAUUACUGGGCGUAAAGCGCGCGUAGGCGGUUAUUUAAGUCAGAUGUGAAAUCCCUGGGCUCAACUUAGGAACUGCAUCUGAUACUGGGUAACUAGAGUUUUGGAGAGGUAAGUGGAAUUUCCGGUGUAGCGGUGAAAUGCAUAGAGAUCGGAAGGAACACCAGUGGCGAAGGCGACUUACUGGCCAAAAACUGACGCUGAGGUGCGAAAGCGUGGAUAGCAAACAGGAUUAGAAACCCUAGUAGUCC
rnacentral:rRNA from 1 species